GAAAGGAAAAAAAAGCGGCAAAAUGUAAUAAGUCGGGGAAGAAAAUUUAGUAAGUGAUAGAGUGAAAAAUUGAAAUGGAAGUGGCGAAACAAAUAACCCAUAUUUCUCUCUCUUUUUCUCCAUUCUCCCUUAAAUCGCUCCCCUUCCCAUGGAGCCAUCUCCAUCCAAGAGCUCUUCUCUCACUUCUUUUAUGUUUACCCUCUCUUACAAUUGGAUCAUAAUCGUAAUAGCUAAGAUGUUUGUGAAAAUGCCUACUAAAGAUGGAAGCUUUGUAGAUUAUACCUCUAUGUGUAUGCACAUGGGCCUACUUGGGUAUUCUAGUAUAACCUGAAAUUUUUUGUUUUCUUGGCAUCACGUAGCCAAGGCUUUGCUGGAACAUCAUCCAAAGUAGGUGAGUUACUGUAACAAAAAGUUAAAGUAAAUGAUAUAUCAUUAUAAAGUUUAUAUUCGUAACUAAAUUUCUAUGCUUAUUAAUGUUUAUGUUGGUUAAAAUGAGGUUGACUGCAUUGUUUAGCUUUUCUA